rnacentral:rRNA from 1 species
AUUGAACGCUGGCGGCGUGCUUAACACAUGCAAGUCGAGCGGUAACAGGUGUAGCAAUACAUGCUGACGAGCGGCGAACGGGUGAGUAAUGCUUCGGAAUCUUCCUAGUAGUGGGGAAUAACCUGGGGAAACUCAGGCUAAUACCGCAUACGAACUACGGUUGAAAGCAGGGGAUCGCAAGACCUUGCGCUAUUAGAUGAGCCGAAGUCGGAUUAGCUAGUUGGUGAGGUAACGGCUCACCAAGGCGACGAUCCGUAGCUGGUCUGAGAGGACGGCCAGACACACUGGGACGGAGACACGGCCCAGACUCCUACGGGAGGCAGCAGUGGGGAAUAUUGGACAAUGGGGGCAACCCUGAUCCAGCGACGCCGCGUGUGUGAAGAAGGCCUGCGGGUUGUAAAGCACUUUUAGUGGGGACAAAAAGCCGAGGGCUAAUACUCUUCGGUCUUGAUUUAACCCAAAGAAAAAGCACCGGCUAACUCUGUGCCAGCCGCCGCGGUAAAAC